GAGGGUAUAGCUCAGUGGUAGAGGGUGUGCCUAGUAUGCAUGAGGUCCUGGGCUCAAUCUCUAGUACCACCA
rnacentral:tRNA from 1 species